rnacentral:lncRNA from 1 species
GGAAGCCCUACCCACACACAGGUCCUACCACCCUAAUCUGUGGUCACAUUUCACAGGAAACCAAACCUAAAACGGACCUAGGAGGGGCUUUCUGCUAAAGGACACUGCUUAGCAUUGAGAAUAGUUCACUCCACUCCCUUACGGACUACUGGCUCCCGGAGUUUUCUGCAAUGCUGCCACGGUGUCCCCUCGCAGGAGGCCAACAUCUCAGCACGGGACCUUGUGCACCUCCACGCUCUUCAGGCUGAAUUGAAGAUCCCUCUUAUUCGCAGGGAGCCAAGAACUAUGAACAGACAGGGCAACAGAAGGACAACAAAAGAAGGAUCCAGCGAUUUGAAAUUCCAGAACCUCUGUCCGCCGAAAAAUAGGUCAUGGCCUCGAAUCAGCAAUACCACAGGCCAGUACCAGGCUAUCGACGAGCCUCUUCUGGAACGUGAAAGGAACUUUGCUGCGACAGUUCUGGAUGGAGCGAAAGACCACAGGGAUGGCGACUAUGAAGACCCUGAGCUUCACAUGGCAGAGGCGUGGCAAUCGAUACAAAUUCUACCAGCCAGGCCUAUAAAGGAAUCGGAAUAUGCAGAUACACGCUGUUUCAAGGGUGUGAUGGACACUCCCCAUCCCCUAGACAUCAAGACCUCUGUCCCCACAGAGCGCCAUCACUGGCACACACAGAUGGGGCUAGAAAAAGUGGACAAACCCAUUUCCAAGGAUUCCAGAAACCAACAUGUUAAAGGAGACAGACCCACAAAGGGAAACAAGACUCCUUUACCACCUCCUCGGCCACCUGCCACUCUUCCAAAGAAGUACCAGCCCUUGCCCCCCCAGCCAGAGAGCAGCCGGUCACCCCUCCCUCAGAGGCUCAGCUUUCCCGACGUCCAGAAAGGGCCCAGGCAGAUAAGCUUAAAGGACUUAAGUGAGCCAUAA